rnacentral:rRNA from 1 species
UGGGGAAUAUUGGACAAUGGGCGGAAGCCUGAUCCAGCAACGCCGCGUGAGGGAUGACGGCCUUCGGGUUGUAAACCUCUUUUCAGCACAGACGAAGCGCAAGUGACGGUAUGUGCGGAAGAAGGACCGGCCAACUACGUGCCAGCAGCCGCGGUAAUACGUAGGGUCCGAGCGUUGUCCGGAAUUAUUGGGCGUGAAGGGCUCGUAGGCGGUUUGUCGCGUCGGGAGUGAGAACACCGGGCUUAACUCGGUGCUUGCUUUCGAUACGGGCAGACUAGAGGCAUUCAGGGGAGAACGGAAUUCCUGGUGUAGCGGUGAAACGCGCAGAUAUUAGGAGGAACACCGGUGGCGAAGGCGGUUCUCUGGGAAUGUCCUGACGCUGAGGAGCGAAAGUGUGGGGAGCGAACAGGAUUAGAUACCCUGGUAGUCCACACCGUAAAACGUUGGGCGCUAGGUGUGGGAUCCAUUCCACGGGUUCCGUGCCGCAGCUAACGCAUUAAGCGCCCCGCCUGGGGAGUACGGCCGCAAGGCUAAAACUCAAAUGAAUUGACGGGGUCAUAGCUGUUUCCU